GAUGAACGCUGGCGGCGUGCCUAAUACAUGCAAGUCGAGCGAAUCGGGGAGGGGUGAGUAACACGUGGAGAAACCCCCAUAAGACUGGGAUAACGUCGGGGAACCGGAGCUAAUCCGGCUUCUUAUAGAUGGAUCAGCGCUGCAUUAGCUAGGUGGUAAGGUAACGGCUUACCAAGGCAAUGAUGCAUAGCCGACCUGAGAGGGUGAUCGGCCACACUGGAACUGAGACACGGUCCAGAAUCCUACGGGAGGCAGCAGUGGGGAAUCUUCCGCAAUGGGCGAAAGCCGGACGGAGCAACGCCGCGUGUGUGAUGAAGGUCUUCGGAUCGUAAAACUCUGUUAUUAGGGAAGCGGUACCUAAUCAGAAAGCCACGGCUAACUACGUGCCAGCAGCCGCGGUAAUUC
rnacentral:rRNA from 1 species